rnacentral:rRNA from 1 species
UACGUAGGGGGCAAGCGUUGUCCGGAAUCAUUGGGCGUAAAGCGCGUGUAGGCGGCCCGAUAAGUCCGCUGUGAAAGUCCAGGGCUCAACCCUGGAAUGCCGGUGGAUACUGUCGGGCUCGAGUCCGGAAGAGGCGAGUGGAAUCCUGGUGUAGCGGUGAAAUGCGCAGAUAUCAGGAGGAACACCGAUGGCGAAGGCAGCUCGCUGGGACGGUACUGACGCUGAGACGCGAAAGCGUGGGGAGCAAACAGG